CACGCCGUAAACGAUGUCAACUAGUUGUUGGGCUCCUUGAGGGCUUAGUAACGCAGCUAACGCAUUAAGUUGACCGCCUGGGGAGUACGGCCGCAAGGUUAAAACUCAAAUGAAUUGACGGGGGCCCGCACAAGCGGUGGAGCAUGUGGUUUAAUUCGAAGCAACGCGAAGAACCUUACCUGGCCUUGACAUGCUGAGAACUUUCCAGAGAUGGAUUGGUGCCUUCGGGAACUCAGACACAGGUGC
rnacentral:rRNA from 1 species